GUAAACUGCAGCGUAUGUAAGAUGACUAUUAUGUGGUCUCUGGUGAGCUGAUCUCUUGACGGCAAAUGAGGAUGUCCGUAUUAAAAAGUUACACGUGUACUACAGAGAAAUCCACGAUGAUGAUUUCCUAUCUUCAUUUUGUAUGAUGGGGUAGAUCGAAGACACACGACCCCGCCUACCUUUACAAAAAGGCUCCAACACAAUUAUAGCAUGCAUGUUUGACGCUCAUAGAUCGGGUAGUACCUUGGGGCUCUGUCUAACAUGACGCAGGGCUAUAAUUACAGUUCAGGUUACUUUUCUUCACCAACCUGACUGAGGCAUGUGAGGCACUUCCUCUCCCCUCAGAGCAGAGGCGGGAGGUUCCUGUUCAUCAGGGCCACCACACCACGGCCCCUGGCCAAGGUCACCUGUCAUACCACCACUUCCGGGCUCAACCACACGGCCCUGGAGCUGUCUGCUGCAUGGGGGACAUGCUAUACCGUAGAAGCCAUGCUAUACCAAAUGUGGUAUGCAGUGCACUCCUCCCUCAUCACGGCUCUCUAGUGUUCCCUCUCCCAGUCAGAACAACCCAGGCGGGCUCUACUCAUCUUAUCAGAUGGAGCCAGGCAGGCAGGACAGGACGGGGCCAGUGUGGAUCCAGCUGCUCCCAGGAGCAGGGCGCAGUCCCACUUAAUAGGUCUUCCCGGCAUCCCAGGCCUCGCCCCACUGGCAUCCCAGUCACAGCCAGGCAGGCUACUCUGUGGGUGGCACGCCUUGGAAACAGGCGGCAGAGACAGAGGAGGUGGGUACGGAGGAGACUGGUAAGACAACCCAGUCCGCCUGGUGUUCCAGAGAACUUUGCCGUUAGACAAAUUGCUUCCCGAGGACCAGUAAAAAGCAAUGGCUCCGACAUGGAGUCCCAUGACGCAUCAUGCUGAAUCUGAUCAGAACAUAUUGAGAGUUCAAAUGACACUUGCUUGAAUAUGCAGCUUGAGCUACAUCGAAAAGUUGUCAACGUUGAGCGAGUUUCUGUUUUCAUAUUGGUGGUGCUACCUGCCUAGAAGGCCGGUCAGGGUCUUGGUGUUCUAAAUCAUCCUAAUUGAUGGGUGUCGGAUAUGUUAGUAUUAUCAUAGGUGCUCUGAGAUUUGUCUCCAAAUAAAUAAAGCUUUAAUUUAUAAGCAUGGACGUAUAUUCUCCUGCCUGCCUUGAGCGGAGUGUAAACAGCUUUUAAUGUUCCGUCUCUUCAUGUUCCCGCAUGUUCCCACCCUCCACCUCUUCCUCUCAACAUGAUCCAGCAGGUGAGGGGGGAUCUUCUACACCAGGUGACGCUAGGUAAGCGCGCAACCUUUUUUCAAAGAUGACACUGUAAAUGCAUGGACCGGUACAGUAGGUUUAAGCUGAUCUAGAAUCAGCAGUAAAGCCCGGGUGUACAUACUAUGCUCUAGGGAUCUGAUUGUGGAGGUGGCCUUGCAAUUUCAGGUCAUCAUGACUUCUCUCUAAAUAUUUAUAUAGGAAACCCCUUCAACUGCUAACUAUGGAUAUAAGUAGAAAAGCCUCAAUAGUAAAUUAUAAAGCAGUGAGAUAUGUGCCUCCUACACCAGGGGUGUAGACAGGCCAAACCAGCUGUUAGCUGUGGAGAGCUGUGAACCCAACCAUGGGGUGAUAAGGGUGGAGUGGUCUACAGGGAGGAGUGUGUGUAUGUGUGUGUAUCUUGGCUGUCCGUGGUUAACCCCUGGCAGAUCGAUAGGGCCUCUAUCUCUAUGACUUAUGGUGACAUGGUGCAGGGUGGGUGUGUCAGCACCGCUUAUGCUCACAUUCCAGGGUGCACGAAGCAAAACUGACGCAGGCGCAACCAAAUAUCGCUAGAACCGCA
ensembl:lncRNA